rnacentral:rRNA from 1 species
GACGAACGCUGGCGGCGUGCUUAACACAUGCCAGUCGAACGGAAAGGCCCUGCUUGCAGGGUACUCGAGUGGCGAACGGGUGAGUAACACGUGGGUGAUCUGCCCUGCACUUCGGGAUAAGCCUGGGAAACUGGGUCUAAUACCGGAUAGGAGCCAUUUUUAGUGUGAUGGUUGGAAAGUUUUUUCGGUGUAGGAUGAGCUCGCGGCCUAUCAUCUUGUUGGUGGGGUAAUGGCCUACCAAGGCGGCGACGGGUAGCCGGCCUGAGAGGGUGGACGGCCACAUUGGGACUGAGAUUCGGCCCAGACUCCUACGGGAGGCAGCAGUGGGGAAUAUUGCACAAUGGGCGCGAGCCUGAUGCAGCGACGCCGCGUGGGGGAUGACGGACUUCGGGUUGUAAACUCCUUUCGCUAGGGACGAAGCUUUUUGUGACGGUACCUAGAUAAGAAGCACCGGCUAACUACGUG